rnacentral:miRNA from 1 species
GUCAUGGGUGGACUUCCUGCUAA